UCUCGGCUUAUCACCGGCAGUCCCUCUAGAGUGCCCAACUGAAUGCUGGCAACUAAAGACGAGGGUUGCGCUCGUUGCGGGACUUAACCCAACAUCUCACGACACGAGCUGACGACAGCCCUGCAGCAUCUGUGGUGCACCCUCGAAGGUCACGCGUUUCCGUGCGCUUGCAGCACCAUGUCAAGUCCAGGUAAGGUUCUUCGCGUUGCAUCGAAUUAAAGAACAUGCUCCGCUGCUUGUGCGGGCCCCCGUCAAUUCUUUUGAGUUUUAACCUUGCAGCCGUACUCCCCAGGCGGGAUGCUUAACGCGUUAGCUGCGACACCGAACGGCAUGCCGUCCGACGUCUAGCAUCCAUCGUUUACGGCGUGGACUAC
rnacentral:misc_RNA from 1 species